rnacentral:rRNA from 1 species
UACAUGCAAGUCGAGCGAACAGACGAGGAGCUUGCUCCUCUGACGUUAGCGGCGGACGGGUGAGUAACACGUGGAUAACCUACCUAUAAGACUGGGAUAACUUCGGGAAACCGGAGCUAAUACCGGAUAAUAUAUUGAACCGCAUGGUUCAAUAGUGAAAGACGGUUUUGCUGUCACUUAUAGAUGGAUCCGCGCCGCAUUAGCUAGUUGGUAAGGUAACAGCUUACCAAGGCAACGAUGCGUAGCCGACCUGAGAGGGUGAUCGGCCACACUGGAACUGAGACACGGUCCAGACUCCUACGGGAGGCAGCAGUAGGGAAUCUUCCGCAAUGGGCGAAAGCCUGACGGAGCAACGCCGCGUGAGUGAUGAAGGUCUUCGGAUCGUAAAACUCUGUUAUUAGGGAAGAACAAAUGUGUAAGUAACUAUGCACGUCUUGACGGUACCUAAUCAGAAAGCCACGGCUAACUACGUGCCAGCAGCCGCGGUAAUACGUA